UGCAGAAGGAACGGCCUCCUCAUCCUCG
rnacentral:sRNA from 1 species